AUUGAACGCUGGCGGCAUGCUCUACACAUGCAAGUCGAACGGCAGCGCGGGCUUCGGCCUGGCGGCGAGUGGCGAACGGGUGAGUAAUACAUCGGAACGUGCCCAGUAGUGGGGGAUAGCUCGGCGAAAGCCGGAUUAAUACCGCAUACGACCUGAGGGUGAAAGCGGGGGAUCUUCGGACCUCGCGCUAUUGGAGCGGCCGAUGGCAGAUUAGCUAGUUGGUGGGGUAAAGGCCUACCAAGGCGACGAUCGGUAGCUGGUCUGAGAGGACGACCAGCCACACUGGGACUGAGACACGGCCCAGACUCCGACGGGAGGCAGCAGUGGGGAAUGUUGGACAAUGGGCGAAAGCCUGAUCCAGCAAUGCCGCGUGUGUGAUGAAGGCCUUCGGGUUGUAAAGCACUUUUGGCGGGAACGAAAAGGACUGUGCCAAUACCACGGUUCGAUGACGGUACCCGCAGAAUAAGCACCGGCUAACUACGUG
rnacentral:rRNA from 1 species